rnacentral:rRNA from 1 species
GAUGAACGCUGGCGGCGUGCCUAAUACAUGCAAGUCGAGCGAACGGACGAGAAGCUUGCUUCUCUGAUGUUAGCGGCGGACGGGUGAGUAACACGUGGAUAACCUACCUAUAAGACUGGGAUAACUUCGGGAAACCGUAGCUAAUACAGGAUAAUAUUUUGAACCGCAUGGUUCAAAAGUGAAAGACGGUCUUGCUGUCACUUAUAGAUGGAUCCGCGCUGCAUUAGCUAGUUGUUAAGGUAACGGCUUACCAAGGCAACGAUGCAUAGCCGACCUGAGAGGGUGAUCGGCCACACUAGAACUAAGACACGGUCCAGACUCCUACGGGAGGCAGCAGUAGGGAAUCUUCCGCAAUGGGCGAAAGCCUGACGGAGCAACGCCGCGUGAGUGAUGAAGGUCUUCGGAUCGUAAAACUCUGUUAUUAGGGAAGAACAUAUGUGUAAGUAACUGUGCACAUCUUGACGGUACCUAAUCAGAAAGCCACGGCUAACUACGUG